rnacentral:rRNA from 1 species
GACGAACGCUGGCGGCGUGCCUAAUACAUGCAAGUCGAGCGAAUCAACAGGAGCUUGCUCCUGUUGGUUAGCGGCGGACGGGUGAGUAACACGUGGGCAACCUGCCUGUAAGACUGGAAUAACACCGGGAAACCGGUGCUAAUACCGGAUAAUCUUUUUCCUCUCAUGAGGAAAAACUGAAAGUCGGUUUCGGCUGACACUUACAGAUGGGCCCGCGGCGCAUUAGCUAGUUGGUGAGGUAACGGCUCACCAAGGCGACGAUGCGUAGCCGACCUGAGAGGGUGAUCGGCCACACUGGGACUGAGACACGGCCCAGACUCCUACGGGAGGCAGCAGUAGGGAAUCUUCCACAAUGGACGAAAGUCUGAUGGAGCAACGCCGCGUGAGCGAUGAAGGCCUUCGGGUCGUAAAGCUCUGUUGUUAGGGAAGAACAAGUACCGGAGUAACUGCCGGUACCUUGACGGUACCUAACCAGAAAGCCACGGCUAACUACGUGCCAGCCGCCGCCGUAACAC